CACGCCGUAAACGGUGGGUACUAGGUGUGGGGCUCAUUUCACGAGUUCCGUGCCGUAGCUAACGCAUUAAGUACCCCGCCUGGGGAGUACGGCCGCAAGGCUAAAACUCAAAGGAAUUGACGGGGGCCCGCACAAGCGGCGGAGCAUGUGGAUUAAUUCGAUGCAACGCGAAGAACCUUACCUGGGUUUGACAUACACCAGAAAGCCGUAGAGAUACGGCCCCCCUUGUGGUUGGUGUACAGGUGG
rnacentral:rRNA from 1 species